rnacentral:misc_RNA from 1 species
GCUAUUAUUCACUACUACCACAAUUAUCACCCAACUAUUGCAAUCACCACCACGUCUAUUGCCCAAACCAUCAUCAAAAUUAAUACCUGUUUACCUAUACCACCACUUCUAAGUUCUAACCAUUAUUCCGACAAUUGUCAUCACCACAACUAUCAGAAUUAAAUAGUCAUUUAUAUUCUAGUUUUAAUUUAAGCACUUAUUAUUUUAAUUAUAAUUGAGAUCUUGAUCUUUUCAGUAUUAAAAUUAUUUAACUCACAAAUUUUCAGCACUUAAAUCUUCAAUUUUACCAACUGCCGCCUUGACAUGCAAACAAAGAGU